UUAAUUUCCAACCAAUAUCCAAUAUUUAAUCAAAAUAGGCAAAAUUACCCGAGAGCCAUUAUUACGCUCAUCAUUGCCUAACUUUGAUAUUCUUACAUCGGAACAAUCCGAACUUAAAUAUCAUACUCAACAGUCGUAAAUACAACCUCUCCAAAAUACGACUUAAAUCCUACGGCCGGAUUCUACAUUAAUUAACCGCCAAAAAUACCAAACUUCGGAAAUUCACAAACCUAUCCAAAUCUCAUCCAAAAAUUCCAUAAUUCACUUCAAUAAUAUCCCCUUAAUAUUCUACAUCAAAAACCAUAAAAAUCUCCUAACCGGCGGCGGCGCCGCCGGCGGCUCCGCCGGCAGCGGCGGCCGGAGGUCAAUUCCGGCGACCUCCAAAACCUAUGAAAUUUUAACAGCAUCUUCCUCUCAUCAAGCUCUACAACUUUCAUAGCUAGCACAAACACCAAUUCCAAGCCUAACUAGGGCUAUCGACUAAAAACAUCAAAAACACCAUAAAACUUCCACCUCUAAUUUCUCCUUACCUAGCUCAAGAGGGAGUGAGUCCUUUUAGGGCAAGGUUGCUGGGUUGGAGGGCUACAAAACCAUACCAAGCUUGCCCGGAUUGGUGGCCGGAGGAGGAAGUUCCGGCAAGAAAACCAAUUCGGUAGUCGAAGCUUUCGGGCGGCACCGCUCACUCACGGCGGCGCUAGGGCUCCUCUCACCGGUCUAGGGAGGCUGCUGGGUUGGAGGUCGAUCGAUUGGAACCGGUGCGGCGGUCUGGGGCGGCUGGACGGCGGCGGACGGCGGUGGAGAACUUUCCGGGUGGAGAAAGGAGAAAACCGGGUGGGAAGAGAAGAAAAAUCGGGAGGGAGAGAGAGAGAAAGGAAGAAGAAAUGGGUUGGGCUCGGCCCAGCCGACCCAACUCUCCUUUUAACCCAAACUUCCAAAAUAAAAACACCCCGAAAAAUAAUACCCGAAUAAAAAUUACCUUUUUCUAGCUAAAAUUUACUAUUUUUACCGUCGUUGUAUUUUCCUCAUACGAAUAAUCCUCCGCACAUAAUCGUCCCCGAAACCCCUCUAGGGACCAAUUAAACUAUUUACUCAAUGAUCGAGACGGUAAAAUUCUUAUUAUAAUCACGCUAGUAAAUAAGGUAAAAAUAUAAGGGUCGGGAUGUGACAAUUCUCCCCUCCUUAUAAAAAUUUCGUCCUCGAAAUUAACAUACAUGUCAUCCGAAGAGAUACGGAUACUGCUGCAUCAUUUGCUCCUCUGAUUCCCAAGUAGCUUCUUCUACUUGAUGACUUCUCCACAGCACC
rnacentral:lncRNA from 1 species